GGUCGAGUCUGUGGACUGCCUGGGCGUUUCCCAAGCAUUUCUCGAGGUCCACGACACUAUUCCGUGGAUCGAAAUGCGAUUGGAUGGCGUGGGUGGCUUCCGGUCUUGAUCCGAUGGUCCAAAGGGUUAUUUGACUUUGUUUAGGACUCCUAAUCCCUCUCUAAUUGAUGUUUAAGCCUUCAAAAGGCUGGGAAUACAUGAAAUAGGGUGGUGGCUUAGUUUUUCUCACAAAAAAUCAUGAGGCUAUAGAUGCGCGGCACAGACGAUCAGAACCCG
rnacentral:lncRNA from 1 species